rnacentral:lncRNA from 1 species
UUGGAAUAAUCUAAAGUUGAUGAUGCUAUAGCAAGAAAAUGAUAUUUCACAAAAUAAAAACAUUGCAUGCAUGCCAAGCUGCAGCUCUCAUUCAAAUUUCAUAGUGCAAACCUGAAAAUAAGCAACACACUGAAUUGCUCUGCUACUUCAGUACUGCACUUGUCAUUGAACACUUGCUGCUGGAGAAACAUUGAACUAAAAAAAUGAUACAGCUGAACUGAUGCUACUGCAGGGAGACACUAGCUGCUCUGUUAGAACCAAGAAGCAAAUGUGGCUUAGCUGCUAUCAAAGAAAACCAAGGAAGCUACGACGCAGAAGCUGCUGCACAAAGACACAUAUCACAGAGGACACGGUGAGCUCCUGCUCAUGCAUAAAACAAAGCUGAAAAUAAUAAUCAUGGUUAAAUACAAUACAUGUACAGAAUAGUAACAAGUUGUAAUAUGUUUCUCUGGUUACAACUAUACAUACAUACAUACAAAAUUUCUAGAUAAUGCUAGAUAACUACAUUCAAGAAUUGCUAGGGAUCGAAAAAGUCAUAUGGCAAAACUGAAAAUCCUAUACUGAAACAAGACACUAUUAAAUUCAUGUAGCAAUGUCUACACAAUCAGACUAGAUGCUUCACGUACUUGCCUGAACGGUGUUUCAUUUUUAUAGUCAACAUAAGAAUCUCAUCGUGACCCAAUAUCAAUCACUUAACUAUAUUAUAAAAAAACUUCAUCACGAAUCUAGACUGGUUCAUACAGGGGAGCUAGCUAGCAGCGAAUGGGGAAUUUUAUUCAUCGAAAACAGUGAAUCAACAGCUAAAUAAGGAAGUGGACUACAUAUUGUACUCGAUCUCCUCUGCAAGCUGCAUGUUGGGCUCUAUGCUGAGGGUCAGAUCCACACUAGUGCCAGGCCGUGUCGUCGCAACCAACGCCGGUAAGAGCCCCAGUAGAUCCAGAUGCAAAUUGCCAGAUAGCUUAAGUUAGGGAUUGGGUGCAAAGUAUUGCAGAAGGGGAGAUAAGGGGCGAGCGUACCUGGUGCCUGCUUAUCGCCGGUGAAGGGCUCAGCGAAGACCUAGGCAUGGCUCCAACCUUCGCGCGCCGCACACCGUCCAUGUCAUACCGGCGAUGCAUGCCUCCUCUGCGCUGCGCCGAUGGGGUUGGAUGCGGGUGGCACUUGGUAACAACUGGGGUGGGAAGCUGACGCCGUCGUCCUCAGAUGGGGUUGGAUGCGGGUGGCACUGGGUGAGAAGGGAUGUGGGAGGUCAGGGUCGGGCAGGGGGCGGCCACUGGUGAGAGGAGGAAGUCAAGGGAGGCAGCCACCGGGUGGG